rnacentral:lncRNA from 1 species
CUUGCUGUGUGCCAAGCAUCGUGUGUAGAGGAUACAGAGAUGAGCAAAAAUAGGUCCCUACUCACAUCAUAGAGGGGAGGCCGACUCACAUGCACACAUUUCCAAUCAGAUAUGGUGAAUACUAGUGGUGGAAGGUUAGGAGCCCAGAGGACAGCAUCUCAUCCACUGGGACCUUGCUUCCUACGAGGCUUGUCCUGCAUUUCAUGGCCUUAAAUUUCACCAAUGUAGUUAUCUAGUGGUGCUGAUAAAUCACUUAUAAUUAGUUUUUUAUUGUCUAAGUAUCAAUUUUAGCUGCUGUUUUUUUAACCUUUCUUUAGUUUCUGCCUACAUAAUUUCCUUAGAAUUAAAGCAUCAAUAAUGGACCUUUGCAAAAAUAAGCACUUUCUAACACCAAUGUGCCAUCCAUCAGCAAAGGAGGCCAUUAGCAAAGUCCAAUUCAUAGACUGCCUCUGAUUUUGCAUUUUAAACUUGCUAAUAUUUAGCUCACAGUGUGAUUUUCCCACGGUCACACACCUAGUUGGUGGUGAAUUGCCGUAAUUUUGCAAUUCAUAUUAUUUUGCAUGUAUCUCAUUUUAUUUGUAUUCUGUGCCAAUCUCUCUGAUAUUGAAUGUAAGUUUAUUGAGUGCAGAUGUCUGUGUUUUUAUUUUUGUGUCCCUAGUGCCCAACAUAUUGUCUAGGGAGGAAAAUACUUGUUAGAUAAACAAUUAGAUGAUCUAUUAGGAUUCUGUAGAGAAACAAAACCAAUAGGAAAUAUAUAGAUACAUAAGAGGAGAUAUAUUGUGGAAAUUGGCUCAUGCAAUUAUGGAGGUUGAAAAGUCUCACAAUAUGUCAUCUUGAAGCUGGAGAACCAGGAAAGCCAGUGGUAUAAUUCAGUCUGAGUCCAAAGGUCUGAGAACCAGGGGAGCCAAUGGCAUAACUUCCAGUCUGAUGCCAAAAGGCCUGAGAAACUUCAGGGGAGAAUCUGAAGUCCCAAGAACUAGAAACUCCAAUGUCAGAGCAGGAGAAGAUGGAUGUCCCAGCUCAAGGAAAGAGAGUUCACCUUCUUCUGCCUUAUUGUUGUAUCUAAACUGUCAAUAAAUUGGAUGAUGCUGGCUCACAUUUGUGAGGGCAGAUUUUCUUUAUUUAGUCUACUGAUUCAAAUGCUAAUUUCCCCCAGAAACACCCUGAGAGACACAUCCAGAAAUAAUAUUUUACCAGCUAUCUGAGCAUCCCUAAGCCCAACCAAGUUGACACAUAAAAUUAAUAAUCACUGAUGAUAGUAAUGAAAAGAAAAAACUUGGAUUUCUGCUUUUUGGUCUUCAUGAGAUAUUUUCCUCACUGUAUCUCUCUUCAUGAGAUAUUUUUCACUAUAUCACAUGGAUAUAUUUUCCACUUCGAUAUAGUAGAAAAUAUGCAUGGAAAAAUGCAUCUAUUAUUUAUUGAGCACAUAUUAUACUUGAGGCACUCUGCUAGGCACUGUAUUGAACAAAGAUGAUUAAGACAGUGUACCUUUCCUAAGGCACAGAAACCAUAAGAUAAAUAUACAAAUGACUGUAGUGCAAGGUAGAAUAUACAAAUGCACAACUAAGCAAAUCUGAGAAUGGGGCUUUCACACAUUGUGGGAGAAUGAGAGAAAGCUUCAUGGAGGAGGUAACUUUUGACCUAAACCUUGGAGCAGGAGCACCUGAGUUCCAGAGGUUAAUUAAAAAAAUGAAGGCAGAGGGAGAGAGGGCAGGGUGGGCAAAGGGAAAAACAGGAAAUAUAAAUGUGAGUCAUUUUUGGAAAACUGUGGGAAGUCUCUUUUAGGUGUGGUGUAUGAAGUGUGUGUAUGUUGGGGGAAUAGAGCAAAGUAAGGAUUAAAAGUCAGGUUUCCAGGCUAUGUUGCCUGGCCAAGCUCAGGGCUUUGCACUUGGUUCAUCAGCAUUGAUAUGUUUUUUGUUUUGUUUUGUUUUUUUGACAGCGUCUCGCUCCGUCACCAGUCUGGAGUGCAGUAGUGCAAUCUCGGCUCACUGCAACCUCUGCCUCCGGGUUCAAGCAAUUCUCCUGCCUCAGCCUGCCAAGUAGCUGGGACUACAGGUGUGUGCCACCCCGCCCAGCUAAUUUUUGUAUUUUUAGUAGAGGCUGGGCUUCACCACGUUGGCCAGGAUGGUCUCGAUCUCUUGACCUUGUGAUCCGCCCGCCUCGGCCUCCCAAAGUGCUGGGAUUACAGGCGUGAGCCACCGCUCCCGGCAGCACUUAUGGGUUUUAAAUAUGAGAGUGACAACAUCAGGUUAUUGGGCAGCAGGAGGUGGGCCAGUUUUGAAAGGCAGGUGAAUGAGGCAGUGAGAUAAGUUGGGAGGGGCUGCAAUAGUUCAGAAACAAGGUAGUGUGCAAGUAAAUCACAGGUGGCACCAGAGAUGAAGAGGAAGAGGCAGUGUGACAGCUCUGUUGCAUGACACAACAUGGGAAACGCAGGAUUGAGAAGAGCCAGAGGUGAUGAUGCCAUUAGCAGCGUGCAUUUAGUACUUAUCACAACCUAUUUACAUUUUCUAUAUAAACAUUGAUCUCAUUAGACUGUGAUCUCCUAGAGGAACAAGUCCCAUGUCAUUCUCAUUGACAAAAUGAACAUGGCAGAUACUUGGUAAAUGUUUGCUAGUAAGUGAAUGGAAGUCAGGCGAGUUGGCUUGGUGAUGGCAGCUGGGGUGUUGAUGGAAAUACCGUGCUUCUUUUUGGACAUGAUGGAAUUUGGGGAUGUGGUCUAUUUGUUAGAUGCAGUUUCUAGGAAGAGAUUACCCAAAGAACUGAAGAACAAUGACAAACUUAUGUGUAUGUGAGGGCAAGAUAAAGAGUAGAGAGAUGGUAUAGUUGGGUAUGGAGAGAAUGCUGUAACUGAACUGCUCCCUUCAAGAUGUCAGGUAAGAUUGGAGAGAAAAUGCAGGAUAGCAUUUGUCACAGGUAGUUGGAAUGUGGAGGGAAGACUGGAAGGAUGAGAAGGACUGAGGUGGACCUGUGGGCUGUGUUAGCCGGUGAAAGUUGGAGGGAAAGGGAAAUGGGAGGCAGUAGAGCAUGGAGUUACAUAUGCAGGCACUGGAGUCAGGCUGUUGGAGUUCAAAGGCUAGCUCUUCUGUGGAUUUGUUAUGUGACUUUACACGCUCUCUCUUGCCUCAAGUUCCUCUUCUGCAAAAUGAGGUUAAUAAUAAUACCUGCAUAAACACAUGCACAGCACACAGAACAGAAGCUGGAAUGUGAUAAGCACUUCAUAAGCAUUAAUUCUUCUUACUGAAACUCACUAGGGUCACUUUGUGCAUAUUAUCCUAUUUAAUCCUUAGUAACUGUAUAGGUAGGUGUUAUUAUCUUCAUUCUGCAAAUGAGAAAACUGAAGUGCAAAGAAGUUUCAUAAUUUUCCUCAAUCCACACAGCCACUAUAUGAUGUGAUAAAGCUUACCUAAGCUAGAGUCUUACCUGAUCCAUCUGGUGCCCGGGCUAGUGCACUUUCUCCUAUAACACUCAGCCUAAGCUAGGUAGAUAUGGCAAGACCACUGGCUGAGGCAACUCAGAUGUGAUCAAUAGGUAGUAGGGAACUGUGGCUGACUUGGGGGCAGGGGAAGCAGCAUGCUGGAAAGAUUCAUCUGGUAUGUUUAUAGAAGAGAGCAGGCAGCAGGCAUGGGGGGCUGAUGAUUCAGACCAGAAAUGGCUGAGGAAAUGGUGAGGUCUGGCAAAUGUCAGAGGAGCUGUGAUAGAAGAAUGAGCAGAAUUUAUGACUGAUGCAAAUAAGGUAGAUAUGAUGGUACGUGACAGAAACUGACUAAGAAGUCUGUAUGCAGUGGGUGCAGCUUAGAGUUUCAACUUGAAAGUUUCAAACCUGGGACUCUAAGAAAAUAGUCUGAAUGGUAAUGAGAAAGUUGUCACUUUAGUAUCUGCUUCCCUUGAAGAAAAGCACCUUUAGAGGAACCAACUUGGAGAAUAGUGUCGCAUCAAAGUGGGACACUUCAUUAUUUUUAGUGGCAGCAUGGUUCUGAUGAGCACACCGUCGGUAACCUUUACUUCACUGUCAGUCCAGCUCUGUCAAUCCUCCUUUAUUAAGGAAGGAAGCUGAUGGAUCUUUCCUUUCUUUCUUUCUUUCUUUCUUCCCUGGAGUAGGAUGUUUUCUGUACACAGUUAGCAUGUGAACUUCUUUUUAAAAAGAAGUUUACAUUUUACUCUAAUUCUCAUCCAUAACGGAGUGUGGUGAUUUGCAUUUGGGCAGUUAGGAAAAUCAGUUCUGUUGACUUCCUGUUUUCUAUUUCUGGCCUCGAGCAGAACUUCCCAUUUGAGUGGGACCAAGAAGAGCAUACAAAGCUGAAAUGUUCUCCAGAAGUUGAUUUCCAAUGGGGAUAAAUUCUGGAUCAGCACAGAAAACUCUCUCCUUUGUCAGAUUGAAAACCUGUAGCAGGGGGACAGCCAAGAUGGCCGAAUAGGAACAGCUCUGGUCUACAGCUUCCAUCAAGCUACCAAUGACUUUCUUCACAGAAUUGGAAAAAAC